UAUAUGAGUAUUUCUCAAAAAAAAUGUACAUUUUGAAAAAAAAAAGUGUGCUUUGAAACAGUUCAAAAGUUUCAUAUUUAUAAAUCAUCACACAAAAAAAACACACACACAAUUUUGAAGGAUGAAUAUUAAUCUUUAAGAUAACGAAGAAUUAUAGCUAUAAUCCUACUUAUUACCAAAUAUUUAGAUAUUUUAAAAAUAGUCCUUUUUUACCUUUCAUACAAAAACCUGUUUGCCACCCUAGCUUUUUCAUGUGUUUUUGUUUCAUAAAAUGCGAUACGUAACUAAAUUAUUGUAAAUUUCUUUGUAUUAUCGUUCUACAGUAAUCGCAGUUUCUGUAUCAAAUUGAUUUUCUAUGGGGUGAUAUAAUAAUUAGCAAUUUAAGCAAAAAAACAAAAUGAGUCGCUCUCAUUUACUAUUUCGUUAUUUACUCUUUAGUUACGAUUAUUUCUACUUUCCCAUGGUUUCUGAACAGUUCCAUAUUUUAUUUUACACGGACAACAAUAGCUGCACUCUGAAUGGCUGUUGGCCUGACGUCUCCGCCAUUACAUCUAUCGCAAAAAUCAGUGAAAACGUGUGUGUUUUGUGGGAUUACGUUUUCGUAACAGGAAGUAAAAUCAGCGAUUUUAUAUAGAACGGAAUGCCGCCAAAAACCAAUGCCGAAAGGCAAAAAGCUUACAGAGAACGACUCAAAAUGGAUAAACAUGAUGGAACAAAAAUAAUUUUAUUAAAAUUGUAUGAAUGAUUA